AUUUAUAAUAAAAAACAUAAAAAAAAAAGUUAUAACUAAUGACUAUCCAUCGUGUACUAAGUACAACUAUUUAUUUAUGUUUUUGUUUUCUUCUUUUUUUUAUUUUUUGCUUAAUAUGGAUUAAAUUUGUUUUGAAAUUAAUUCAAAAUAAAUACUCUAAAUUUUUUCAGAAAAAUAAAAUUAUUCAGAAAUAUAUUAAUUUUCAUAAUAAAAAUAAUGCAUUACAAAAAAAAUGUUUUAUAUAAAUUAGUUAGCUAUAAACUGGAUGAUAAAAAUAUUUAUAAACAAACCCCAUGUAGGAACCAUGUCUCCUUUUACUAUUUGAAAAGGACAAUUUUUUUUUUGCAUAAUUCUAAAUUUAUGCCCAUAAAACAGAGAUUAAAUGAAUUUUUUAUUCAAAAUGAUAUAACUGAUAUAAGGAAUUUUACACACUUGACAUAUGAGAAAGUUAUCCAAUUUAAAAAAGACAUGAGUAUUUGCUUAAUAGAGGCAUAUAAUUCUUUUGAUUAUAAAAAUAGAAAAGAACUUUUAUAUAUAUAUUUUAAAUUGUAUUCAAAACUUUAUUUUUUGUUUAAAAAUGAAAAUACUUAUUUUUUCCAUUUUUUAACAAAUAUCAUAUUAGUCUCAUGGGUCUACACCCCUUUCAAUGUUAUUUUUUAUUAUAAGGAAAAAAAAAAAAAUGAAUAAAUAAUAGUACCAGGUAAAAUAAUUUAAAUACAAAUAAAGUGGUAAUAAAUAAAGCA
rnacentral:lncRNA from 1 species